ensembl:snRNA U6 U6 spliceosomal RNA
GUGCUCACUUCAGCCCUACAUUUACUACAACUGGGAUGAUACAGAGAAGAUUAGCAUGGCCCCUGCACAAGGAUAACACACAAACUCAUGAAGCGUUCCAUAUUAAA